rnacentral:lncRNA from 1 species
CUUCGUGUAAGGAUAAAAAAUAAUAGCACCAAUAACUUAGUACUAUUACCGUCUGUCCCUAACGUAAGUGGCAAAGAACUCGAUAAUUGGUAUCCGAGAUUACAAGUUCGAAUCUCAGUUGAUUCACAUUUCUAGCUAAGUCUAUUUCGAAAUGAAAUAAACGAAACGGGUAAGAUGCUGCUUAUUUCUAAAAAAAAGACUUAGUACUAUUAGAAUUUUUUCAGUCCAAUUAUAUAUAUAUAUAUAUAGAACUAGGCUGGAAUACUAUCAAUAGUACCAAGUUAUUGGUGUUAUUAGUUUUUUAGCUCUUCGAUUAAGAAAUAUGUGGUUAGGAUGAUGUGGGCCCCCUAAGGAUGAGUGGGUAGUUGGUUGAAUAGUAAAAUCUAACGGAUAAAAAUAAUCAAAUGAGUUAAUCUAAUGGCAGAAAAUUUGAUUGUACUAAGUGUUUUGUGCUAUCGAUAGCAUAGCAGCCGAAUUUUAUAUAUAUAUAUAUAUAUAUAUAUAUAUAUAUAUAUAAUUUUAAAUUAAAUAUUAGUUAAAUAAUAAAUGACGAAUAAAACGAUCUCACAUGCAAUAAUCCCUUCCAAUAAUCCCUUCCAUUUUCCAAACACAUUUGUCCCUUCC